rnacentral:rRNA from 1 species
GCACGGUAAACGAUGGAUGCCCGCUGUCCGCCUUUGUGGCGGGUGGCCAAGCGAAAGCGUUAAGCAUCCCACCUGGGGAGUACGCCGGCAACGGUGAAACUCAAAGGAAUUGACGGGGGCCCGCACAAGCGGAGGAACAUGUGGUUUAAUUCGAUGAUACGCGAGGAACCUUACCCGGGCUUGAACUGCCAGUGAACGAUACAGAGAUGUUGAGGCCCUUCGGGGCGCUGGUGGAGGUGCUGCAUGGUUGUCGUCAGCUCGUGUCGUGAGAUGUUGGGUUAAGUCCCGCAACGAGCGCAACCCUUAUUGUUAGUUGCUACGCAAGAGCACUCUAGCGAGACUGCCGUUGACAAAACGGAGGAAGGUGGGGACGACGUCAAAUCAUCAUGCCCCUUAUGUCCUGGGCCACACACGUACUACAAUGGUGGUUAACAGAGGGAGGCAAUACCGCGAGGUGGAGCAAAUCCCUAAAAGCCAUCCCAGUCCGGAUUGCAGGCUGAAACCCGCCUGUAUGAAGUUGGAAUCGCUAGUAAUCGCGGAUCAGCAUGCCGCGGUGAAUACGUUCCCGGGCCUUGUACACACCGCCCGUCACACCAUGAGAGUCGGGAACACCCGAAGUCCGUAGCCUAACCGCAAGGAGGGCGCGGCCGAAGGUGGGUUCGAUAAUUGGGGUG